rnacentral:rRNA from 1 species
AUUGAACGCUGGCGGCAGGCCUAACACAUGCAAGUCGAGCGGAUGAAGGGAGCUUGCUCCUGGAUUCAGCGGCGGACGGGUGAGUAAUGCCUAGGAAUCUGCCUGGUAGUGGGGGAUAACGUCCGGAAACGGGCGCUAAUACCGCAUACGUCCUGAGGGAGAAAGUGGGGGAUCUUCGGACCUCACGCUAUCAGAUGAGCCUAGGUCGGAUUAGCUAGUUGGUGGGGUAAAGGCCUACCAAGGCGACGAUCCGUAACUGAUCUGAGAGGAUGAUCAGUCACACUGGAACUGAGACACGGUCCAGACUCCUACGGGAGGCAGCAGUGGGGAAUAUUGGACAAUGGGCGAAAGCCUGAUCCAGCCAUGCCGCGUGUGUGAAGAAGGUCUUCGGAUUGUAAAGCACUUUAAGUUGGGAGGAAGGGCAGUAAGUUAAUACCUUGCUGUUUUGACGUUACCAACAGAAUAAGCACCGGCGAACUUCG